rnacentral:rRNA from 1 species
AGGGAAUCUUCCGCAAUGGACGAAAGUCUGACGGAGCAACGCCGCGUGAGUGAAGAAGGCCUUCGGGUCGUAAAACUCUGUUGCCGGGGAAGAACAAGUGCCGUUCGAACAGGGCGGCGCCUUGACGGUACCUAACCAGAAAGCCACGGCUAACUACGUGCCAGCAGCCGCGGUAAUACGUAGGUGGCAAGCGUUGUCCGGAAUUAUUGGGCGUAAAGCGCGCGCAGGCGGUUUCUUAAGUCUGAUGUGAAAUCUUGCGGCUCAACCGCAAGCGGCCAUUGGAAACUGGGAGGCUUGAGUGCAGAAGAGGAGAGUGGAAUUCCACGUGUAGCGGUGAAAUGCGUAGAGAUGUGGAGGAACACCAGUGGCGAAGGCGGCUCUCUGGUCUGUAACUGACGCUGAGGCGCGAAAGCGUGGGGAGCAAAC